rnacentral:rRNA from 1 species
GACGAACGCUGGCGGCGUGGAUUAGGCAUGCAAGUCGAACGGUAUCAUCCUUUCGGGGGUGAGAAAGUGGCGAACUGGUGAGUAACACGUAGGUUAUCUACCCUCAAGACGGGGACAACCCAGGGAAACUUGGGCUAAUACCGGAUGUGAGCAACUUUUAGUUGUUUGAAAGGUGGCGUAAGCUGUCGCUUGGGGAUGAGCCUGCGUCCUAUUAGUUAGUUGGUGAGGUAACGGCUCACCUAGGCAAUGAUAGGUAGGCGGCCUUAACGGGUGGUCGCCCACACUGGGAUUGAGAUACGGCCCAGACUCCUACGGGAGGCAGCAGUCGAGAAUAGUCUACAAUGGUCGGAAGACUGAUAGUGCGACGCCGCGUGAACGAUGAAUCCCUUCGGGGUGUAAAGUUCUUUUAUAUGUGAGCAGUGCUUCUUAUAUUAACAGUAUGGGGAGAGAGAUAUUAGCAUAUGAAUAAGCAACGGCUAACUCCGUGCCAGCAGCCGCGGU